rnacentral:misc_RNA from 1 species
UACGGAGGGUGCAAGCGUUAAUCGGAAUUACUGGGCGUAAAGGGUGCGUAGGUGGUUUUGUAAGUUAUCUGUGAAAUUCCUGGGCUUAACCUGGGGUGGUCAGAUAAGACUGCGAGACUUGAGUAUGGGAGAGGGUAGUGGAAUUUCCGGUGUAGCGGUGAAAUGCGUAGAGAUCGGAAGGAACACCAGUGGCGAAGGCGGCUACCUGGCCUAAUACUGACACUGAGGUACGAAAGCAUGGGGAGCAAACAGG